rnacentral:rRNA from 1 species
CGGCAGGGUAAGUAAAGUGGCGCACGGGUGAGUAGCGCGUGGGUAAUCUACCCCUGAAUUCGGGAUAACAGUGCGAAAGCGCUGCUAAUACCGAAUGACAUCUAUAAGGCUUUGGUCUAGUGGAUCAAAGGUGGCCUCUGCAUGCAAGCUACUGUUUGGGGGUGAGCCCGCGUACCAUUAGCUAGUUGGCAGGGUAAUGGCCUACCAAGGCGGCGAUGGUUAGCUGGUCCGAGAGGAUGAUCAGCCACACUGGAACUGACACACGGUCCAGACUCCUACGGGAGGCAGCAGUGAGGAAUUUUGCGCAGUGGGGGAAACCCUGACGCAGCAACGCCGCGUGAGUGAAGAAGGCCCUUGGGUCGUAAAGCUCUGUCAACUGGGAAGAAGUUAUGACAUAUUAAUAGUGUGUUGUAUUGACGGUACCAGUGGAGGAAGCGCCGGCUAACUCCGUGCCAGCAGCCGCGGUAAUACGGGGGGUGCAAGCGUUACUCGGAAUCAUUGGGCGUAAAGGGCGCGUAGGCGGCCUGGUAAGUCAGAUGUGAAAGCCCGGGGCUCAACCCCGGAAGUGCAUCCGAUACUGCUAGGCUUGAGUAUGGGAGAGGGAAGUGGAAUUCCUGGUGUAGAGGUGAAAUUCGUAGAUAUCAGGAGGAACACCGGUGGCGAAGGCGACUUCCUGGACCAAUACUGACGCUGAGGCGCGAAGGCGUGGGGAGCAAACAGGAUUAGAUACCCUGGUAGUCCACGCAGUAAACGUUG